CAUGGGUGUGGUGGGUGGGUAGGGACGAUGUGUAGAGACCAAUAAGACACUGUUUACAGCUGGAGCGUGCUUGGACUGGUUGGAUUGCUCAAAUUGACAGGUCUUGAUUUACCAUGCGCCAUAAGAGAUCAGCUGUGCCAGUGCCACAUUUGUGCAGCUGUUCCCAGAUGUUUACACUCACAGUGGAUAGGUGACUGCGAGUGAAAGCCGAUCUGUGCUGAGAAGGGAGUUUCAUUCUUCACAGUCCAAUAAGACCUUGGAACAAGAGAAAGAGACCAGACUGACCUGUGUCUUCACAGUUACAUAGAGGAGCCCAUUAGGGUUAACAGGGGAGUUAAUUCAACAUUGUAAAUCUGAGCAUGUUAUGUACGCUCAUGGUCGUGAAGUGAUUCAUGUAAUUCGUUAUUUAUUAUGCUAUAAGUUUGACGACUUUACUUGUGAUCUUUCUCCUACGCUGUAAAUUAUCACAACCUUUUUUCAUUUGUCAGAUCAACUUCAAUAAUUAAUGUGGUUCAGAUAACAUAAUAUUUUGAGUUCCUGUUGAUUAAGCCAAUCGCCUUCAUUGUAUUAACUCAAAUUUUUAAUUUCAAUAAACUAAAAAUUUUAAGGCAACCAGGUAACUUACUUUUUUUAAGUUAAACAAACUAUUCUUUUUUUUUUACAGUGUAAUUGUUUUCAUUCAAUCUGGUAUCAUUUUUCUACCUUAAAAAUUUGAACUCAAAGUUUUUUAA